rnacentral:rRNA from 1 species
UCGCCUGUUUAUCAAAAACAUGUCCUUAUGAUGAUAAUUUAAGGUCUGACCUGCCCACUGAAUGAUAUAUAUUUAAAGGGCCGCGGUAUUUUGACCGUGCAAAGGUAGCAUAAUCAUUAGUCUCUUAAUUGGGGGCUGGAAUGAAUGGUUGGACGAGGCAUUGACUGUCUCAGUGUAAAUGAUAUUAGAAUUUAACUUUUAGGUCAAAAGGCUUAAAUUAAAUUAAGGGACGAGAAGACCCUAUAGAGCUUUAUAUUGAUUUAAUUAUAAUGUAUUUAUUUGUAUUUAGGUGUUAGUUAAUAAAAUAUUUUGUUGGGGUGACAGGAAGAUAAAAUAAACUCUUUUUAAUUUUAUACAUUGAUUUAUGAAUGGUUGAUCCAUUAUUAGUGAUUAUAAGACUAAGUUACCUUAGGGAUAACAGCGUAAUCUUUUUUGAGAGUUCUUAUCGACAAGAAGGGUUGCGACCUCGAUGUUGGAUUAAGGGUAAUUUUGGGUGUAGAUGUUCAAAGUUUAGGUCUGUUCGACCUUUAGAUCCUUACAUGAUCUGAGUUCAAACCGGAGA